GACCAUAUCAUGUUGAAACAAUAGUUCCCCAUAUGAUCACCAAAGUUAAGCAAUGUUGGGUCUGAACAGUACCUAGAUGGGUGACUGCUUGGGAAUAGCAAGUGCUGUAAG